CAAAUACCUUGCUCAAACAUAUGUAAUCACUUUAUAUUUUAUUUGGUUUGUUCAUGAAUUGAAGGAUAUGAGGAAUCUACUCUUUUCCAUUUACAACUCAUGACUUAAUAUUUAGACAAAAAAAUUAGUCAUGGCCAUUUCCUAAUUCAGAAACCAGCGUUUUAACUCACUGAUCUAAUCUAAUUUAAGCGAAUCUGGCUUUUAACAUCUCUUCAGAUUAAGAGAUUCUCCAUUUCCAAUGCACUCUGGUGUUAAUGUGGAAACUGGAUCUCUGUUUUCUUUGUUAUGGGAGUAAGGGCUGUUUGUCCAGGUUAUGCAACCGAUGGCUGGUUUUCUGUCAUCAAUCACUCUACAGAAGCCUGGCUGGACUGCCUGUGACCUCCACCCACACCAAUUUGCUUAGCAACCGUGCCGCAAAGUGAAGCACUGCAGCGGUGAGUCAACCUGACGAGAGACGGAAGGACAGAUGAUGCUGUCAGUCUGAACAAGCCGCGUGGGCUCACACAGAGACAGCGGCGGAUGAUUCAUAUCGGCUGGAGUGCUCCUUUUGUGAACUGCUGCCACCACAUCUCUGCUGUAACAUGGCCUUCAUAGAAAUGAAGCCACGAAGGGCCUUGAAAUGGAUGGAAGCAACACAAACCGGGAGCUGUGAGCUCUGGGCUGACAUUCACGCAGUGAAUCUAUUCAUAGCCGAUGGAGAAACUCAAGGAACGGAAGGAAUCUCGUGGAGUUUUAUCACGGAGAGACACGCGUGGGCUGAGCGACAGAAGUCCAGAAGCGAGUGAAAACACAAAAAGCUAAAGCUUUAUUUCCAAACAAAGCACUUCUAUGUGGCGCUUCUUGGAAGACAUUCCUCUCCAGCAUUCCAGAGCGUGUGGAGGUGGAGGUCUCGACCGCUGGCUCUGAGGAUAAUUAAGUUUGUAAUUUUUAAUGAAAUGUCCUACACCUACACACACUGGACGUCCUAAAACCUCUCUGUCUCGGUCUGCCUGACUACCUUUCUCUUCACACACAUAUAUAAAUUAUAUACAAUAUACAAAAAAUAAUUACAAUUGUCAUUAAUAUUAAUUAUUAUAAUGUAUAAUAUAUUUAAAAUAUACUUAACAGUUAUUAUUUAUUAUAUUACAUCAUAAUACAAUAGUAAUAAUACAUGUAAAACUAGUAAUAUAAUUCAUAUGAAUUACUAUUAAGGUAAUAUGUUUUCUCUACAUAUGAACCCCAUUAAUUUAUACAUAUAUCUAUAAAAGUAUACUUCAUACAAGACAAUAUAUAUGUAUAUAUAUAUAUAUAUAUAUAUAUAUAUAUAUAUAUAUAUAUAUAUAUAUAUAUAUAUAUAUAUAUAUUAAUAUAAACAUAAACUGUUAUAAACUAUAACUAAGCUACACUACUUUAAUAAUCUUACAAUUAUACAUAUACUUGUUAGUAUAUUUUGUCAUUAUAAAUUAAAAUAAAUACAAAUUAAUAAUAAUAUAUUAUGUAAUA
ensembl:lncRNA